UUUGCUUCGCCUUCUGCCGGCCCACGACCCACGCUUGUUAUACGGACUCUGACUCUCUCUCUGCCUGCCCACGAACCACGCCUGUUAUACGGACUCUGAUCCUUGCUGCCUGCCCUUGAACCAAGCCUGCAUAACGGAUCCUGGUUCUCGCUCACUCCCUUCCACUCAUGCCUGCUAUGGGCACAGAUUUGCUUUCUGGACUGAGGAGGCAAGAAGUGUCUUGGAUGGAAAGAUUCUGCUCCUUUUUAGGGUGAAAAGAAAAACCACAUCCAAUCUUCCGGCACAUGUCAAAGCAGUUCAAGAUCGGGAAAGGAAUGACAAAAGAUUAAUGGACUUGAUUAUCACAUCAAAAUCAGCAGAGCAGCAUUUGGUGGAUAUACUCGGUGGGAAAAGGUCAAAUUGGUUUCCACUAAAACCCCGUUCUCAAGUGCCUGUCUACAUUGAGAAUGAGCAGUCCCAGUCAAUCAUUUGUGACUACAUCAGAGGAAUUCUUAAUAAAACCAAAACACAGCUGACCUUCAAUGAUGAGGUGGAGUUCAUUUGUGGAUGUCUCCUCCCAGAGGCCAUAACUCAUGGCAUUUCCGAGUUACAAGGCUUGUCUUGGCAGGAGGCUGAAGAUGUCUUCCUCCAGGGCCAUUUAUCACGCAAGGUAUGU